GACGAACGCUGGCGGCGUGCUUAACACAUGCAAGUCGAACGCUGAAGCACCAGCUUGCUGGUGUGGAUGAGUGGCGAACGGGUGAGUAAUACGUGAGUAACCUGCCCUUGACUCUGGGAUAAGCCCGGGAAACUGGGUCUAAUACUGGAUGCUACAUGUCACCGCAUGGUGGUGUGUGGAAAGGGUUUACUGGUCUUGGAUGGGCUCACGGCCUAUCAGCUUGUUGGUGAGGUAAUGGCUCACCAAGGCGACGACGGGUAGCCGGCCUGAGAGGGUGACCGGCCACACUGGGACUGAGACACGGCCCAGACUCCUACGGGAGGCAGCAGUGGGGAAUAUUGCACAAUGGGCGAAAGCCUGAUGCAGCGACGCCGCGUGAGGGAUGACGGCCUUCGGGUUGUAAACCUCUUUCAGCAGGGAAGAAGCCACAAGUGACAAUACCUGCAGAAGAAGCGCCGGCUAACUACGUG
rnacentral:rRNA from 1 species